rnacentral:rRNA from 1 species
UCCGUAGGGUGCGAGCGUUGUCCGGAAUUAUUGGGCGUAAAGGGCUCGUAGGCGGUCCAUCGCGUCGGGUGUGAAAAGCUGGGGCUCAACCCCAGUCCUGCUUCCGAUACGGGUGGACUAGAGGUAUGCAGGGGAGAACGGAAUUCCUGGUGUAGCGGUGAAAUGCGCAGAUAUCAGGAGGAACACCGGUGGCGAAGGCGGUUCUCUGGGCAUUACCUGACGCUGAGGAGCGAAAGCGUGGGGAGCAAACAGG